GAAGUUAAGCGGUGUUCUUAUGUGCCGUUUGCCCAAACUGCUGUUUUGUGUAAAGUGAUAAGGAUCUAUGAUCCGUUUGGCCAAACAGUGGCAUUGAUCAGUUGAGUUCUUGGGAUGGGAGCAGUUUUGGGAGACGAUUUGUUGGGAUAUUUGUAGAUGAUGAUUGCAUGUUGAUUGAGGAUAUAAAAAAAGGAAAGGUGCUGCAGAAGAAAAAAAGAAAAAAAAAAGAGAAAAAAAAUAAAAAAAAGAAGAAAAGAAAAGAAAAGAAAAGAAAAGAAAAAGAUGUUGCACCAGUUUGAGUUGAGCAUGUAGUAUCAUUGUUAUUGUUGGAGUUUUUUCCCCGAAGUUUGGUUGCUUUCUUUCUCUAUAAACUUGAAUUGUGGAUGAUGAUUUGGAUUAGAUAUGCACACUUUGAUCUUCAAUGUUUAAGCUUAGGACCCCUAGGAUCUUGCCAACA
rnacentral:lncRNA from 1 species